CAACUCCGUUGCUGCCCUAGCUCUGGUUGAUGAGUGCACACGCUCUUCCGGGAGAAGUGCCUAUACCAGGAAUUCUGCCCUUUAUGAUGUCAUACAAGGCCGUACUCAAAAAAAAAAAAAAAAAAAAAAAAAAAAACAACAACAACCCAAACAACAAAAAAAUUCUUCAACUUAUACAAACCCUGAAGGAGUGUAUUUGGCACAGAAAUACUCUGUCAUACGUCCAACAAGUUUUUUUUUUUUUUUUUUUUUUUUUUUAUUUUUUUUUUUUUUUUUUUUUUUUUUUUUUGGCCAUGUUUAUCACAAGAAUCCAGCUCUUUAACAGUUAUGUUCACUAGGAUUUAACCAUAUGGCUGUGUGUUAAAAUGACAAUCUCUGACGUUCAGAGCAGCGCAUGGUAAAUUGAUUUUCUUCUUUUCCUUUUCUUAGUAGAGAAGGCUCAUCAGAAAUGAGAAUGACAUAAGCCCCGUAUAUGACAUGUGCCACCCACUGUAAGGUGUUGUGUGGACACAUUGGGUGAACGUGGUGUCUAUUUUAAUCCAAACAGUGGGCGAUCUUCAUGCUAUCAACUGCUAUAGUGGCAUCCCAUCUGGUCAUAUGUUCUAAGCACGGAACUUGUCGACAUGGUUAACACAAGCUCAGCGGCUACUAACAGAUGGGUACUCUGCAAUCUGCGAGUCACAUACUAGCCAUACUUGCUUUCUUAGUUAAUUAAGAAUGGCUAAUAGCAUGACUAGUUAUGUUUCUAAACCUAGCUGACUCUAUGCUAUUUCAUUCAGCAUUAUUUUAGUAUUAUUUGUAUACAAUUAUAGUAUUUAUAAGUAUUUUGAAUUAGCUUUUUUUAAUUAGGUAAACCUGAACUGGGAAAACUUCCCUUAACACCUGAUGUACUUGCAACAUCAUUAGAAGAAUGGCAUCGACGCUAAUAUUAGUCUGUUUCUCUCUUGUUCUUAGUACGACUCCAACCUACAACCUUAGGGUUAGGAGUCAAACUCUCUAACCAUUAGGCCACGACUUCCCCCUCAUUUAUUAGAACAACAUUAAUUAGGAAAACAGUGUGUCAAUAAUGCAAAAUGACAGUUAAAGGCAGUUCAUCAUUGAAUUCAGUGAUGUCAUCAUGCAGCUCAGUUCAGUUUAAAUAGUAUGUGUGCAAUCAUUUGCAAUCAAGUCAAUGAUAUCGCUGUAAAUGAAGUGUCCCCAACUAAGCAAGCCAGAGGCGACAGCGGCAAGGAACCAAAACUCCAUCAGUGACAGAAUGGAGAAAUGACAUCACUGAAUUCAAUGAUGAACUGCCUUUAACUGUCAUUUUGCAUUAUUGGCACACUUUUUUCCUAAUUAUUGUUAUUCAGUUGCUUUGACGCCAUCUUUUUUGUUUAAAGCACUAUAUAAAUAAAGGUGACUUGACUUGACUUAAUUUUUUGUUU
ensembl:lncRNA